rnacentral:snoRNA from 1 species
AAUUAUAUGAUGCUUUUACAUUUUCUGACAUCUCUAAUGAACCAUUGUGAUUCAAAAUUUUUUUUUAAUUACUGAUAGU